GACGAACGCUGGCGGCGUGCUUAAUACAUGCAAGUCGAACGGAAAGGCCCUGCGUUUGUGGGGUGCUCGAGAGGCGAACGGGUGAGUAACACGUGAGUAACCUCCCCUUGACAUUGGGAUAACUCCAGGAAACUGGGGCUAAUACACGAUAGGAGCUCCUGCUGCAUGGUGGUGGUUGGAAAGUUUCGGCGGUUGGGGAUGGACUCGCAGCUUAUCAGCUUGUUGGUGGGGUAGUGGCUUACCAAGGCUUUGACGGGUAGGCGGCAUGAGAGAGUGACCGGCCUCAUUAGGACUGAGGUAGGGACCAGACUCCUACAGGCGGCAGUAGUAGAAAAUAUUGCACAAUGGGCGGAAGCCUGAUAAAGAGACGCCGCGGCCGUAAUGAUGUCCUUCGAGGUAUAAACAGCUUUCGCCUGUGACAUAGCUUGAGUGACGGUAAUGGGUAAAGAAGCAACGGCUAACUACGUG
rnacentral:rRNA from 1 species